AAGAGCUGGAAGGAUUCAAUAGAAGUGAGUAUGAGGCAUAGAGAAAAAGGAUGCUUGAUGCUGCUGGGUAGGAGCUGAGGCAAGUAGGAGGGAACUGGAGGAUACAAAGGCAGGAAUGCAUCUGGAGGGGACUUGUAGAAGGAGAUCCUGUGCUCUGCUGGCCCAUUUCUUUUGGCUAACCUCCAUAAAACCUCUGCAGUUCCUUCUACCCACAUCCGCUGCUAAGAAAAGAGAAGCCUCCGCUCGCGAGGAUUUAGCAUUCUGAUUUUCCUGGAAAGAAGAUUCCCAGCACGUAAGAGAGUUUACAGAACCUGCUCUGAUGCUUCUUCAAAAAAAUUCCAUGCAGGCUUGGUGAGAUAUUUUGGACAGAGAAUGAUGCUGAGAAGAUGCACCAUCAGCACCUUGGACCUGAGCAUCACAGAGGCUCCACAGUAGAGAGAUCUGUGCCAGCUCUGCAUGAACCUGUCCCAUACUUAACAGCAGGAGCAGCCAUUCCCAUUGCUCUGGGUAACACACGUUCCCUCUCAUGCUGCUGGUAGCACUCAGGUUGCCUGGAACUGGGUAACAAUUAACAGUAAGUGACUGGGAAGUGAGGGCUGGGCCCUCUCUGAGAGAGAGAUCUGCAGAAAUCUCUGCAGGGCUGGGAUAUCUGCAGAAUUAUCUCUUAACCGCCUUAGCUGUGCCUCUGGGGCUUGCAGGUUCUCCUUGGGGUAUAGCCAAGUAUUUCCAUGGAUGCUGAAAUGUGGCUGCUGGAAAUCCAUACUGUCACACUUUGUUAAAGGAUGUCCAGGGACAGGCAUGGGAAGAAGUUAGGCUGAUUGCAAACACCUCAUUUCCUUCAGAAAUCAGCCUAGAAUUCUCUCCGGCACGUACAGGCUAACUGUGAGAGCUCAGGGUGUUUGCAGGGCUGUUUGUUAGCUAUGAGCUAGCAGUACAUGCUAUAAGAGCAUCUUUGCAAGGCUGCGGACCUCCUCUACCCUGCAAGAGGUACCACCACUGCCUUGUACUCUGAUGUGUGAUGCUUUAUUUCCAUACACCACAGAAACACAGAAAUUGGAUGUUUAGCUGACUGGCAAUGGCAAGUUGUGAUAUACAGCACUUUUCAAGCAUUUAUUCCCCUAGUCUUGUCUAUAAGCCAUGAAGGGACUGAUCUGAACACAUUUCUCCCUUUGCUUGCCUGAGGCUCCCAUUCCUCCUUCAAUGUACUUUUUCAAAUUUCUUUUGAGAAACAAUACUUUCAAAUAAGCUAAUAGAGAAUACAUAAUGAAAUAUGAGAAGAAUUCUGUGGAGCCCAAUAUUUCGUUUUGUUCCCAGUUCACCUCCUUGCCUCAGGUUCCCUUUGUUCCCCCUCCAUCCACCCACCAGCCUUCCCGUUUGUUCUUUUUCCUUUUGACUGCCCACUUUCACAUUUGUUUUGGCUUUCCUUCAGUCUUUUAAUGCUGCAUCUAUUCCUUGAAUCCACUAUAGUUUGACAUUCUGUUUCAUGAGUCACCACUGGGGACAGAGUUUGAAGGAGAUCAAAUCGCACAAACUAGUUCUUACAAUUGCCAAAAGCUAAUUUGAAUUUGUGCUCUUUAUUCCCUGGAUAAACCUUCGUGGAUUCUUUCCUCUAUGCAUUUGCCUCAGAAGAUGAUGCAGUAAAUACAUGUGUUUGUUGCAUGUAAACAUCAGGAGAAUUCCUGAAUUCCUUUGCUUCUACCUUUGUGUAGAUCCUCAGCUUGUGAACCAUACUGAGUUUGAGGCACUUCUCCAGCCUUCCCUUCUGCCAUGUUCUUUGAGUUCAUUUGCUCUAAUACAUCGGAAUGAUGCCAGUGCUCACCAAACAACACUUAAAUUCUCCAUGCAACUCAGCUUUGCUGUGGUGUUUAAUUGCCCUCAGAAGUUGUUCCUAGGUGUGCAUGUGUGACUAAAACCGCAAGUAAGUCUUUAAAUAACUCCAUGCCAUUGUGGUGCAAGAUGAUGAGGUUGGCGAGGAUUCUUGUGUUGUCAUCAUAAUUUUCAUUAGUGCAGACAAUUAUGACAGCUUGUUCUCUGCUCAGAUUGAUGUGAUUACUAAUCUGAAGCCCUGGCACAUUGCACUAACACCUGACAUCUGGAAGAGAAAGGUGGGAGGUGAUGCAGGCUCCCAGAGUUGCUGUGUGAUGUAUACCAAAGGUCUCCUUGUCCACUUCAGGAGCUGCUGCUGCCAAGGUUAAUGGCCUUCCUUGGUCAGCAGAGCUAAUGCAAUUCUUGCAAUGAUAAAACAAAUAGCUUCUGUGAUUAGUGAUGGAAAAUACCAUCAAGAAAUAUGUAAUGCUGAGUAGGCAGCGACUGGAGUUAGCAGCACUUUCCUGUUAAACUCAGCUCCUCAGGAAGAGUUGGAUGAGUUGGAGAUUUAUGUAAAAAAGAACGGAAAGUAUGCAUCAAGUGUACAUGUGUCAUUCAAAGUACAUCAAAUUGAAGACCCUUAUCAAAACAGCAUUGAUGAUGGAAGAGGAUUUUACCAGCAAAACUGGAGAGGAAUGAGUUUAUAACUCAACUUACAACCCCUCUAGCAGAGGAAAAACCUUUGCCAUUGAAUAACUGUGGUCCCUGCAGGCAGCUACUCUGUGGGAUGGCAGCAGUGAUGAUGCCAGGCACACUCACAUUGCCUAGCCAAGACCCUCAGCAACCUUUGGUUGCCCAGCCCACAUGCAGCAGUGCUGAUUAAAAGCAACAGCAAAAGAAGCCACAAAGAACAACUUGGAAGAGAGAUUCCUAUUUUGCAGCCGUAAGCCACACACCAGCAGCCCAAAAUGCAGGCAGUUGGCAAUGUUUUCUAUGCAGGCAUAUAUAUUCCAGCACUCGUCACUGGUGAUGAAUCUUUUCACAGUGAUCUUGUUCCCUGCAGAGUCAGCAAGCCCUGCAUGCUGCCAGCAGGACGAGUGGCCGACAGGAAAAUCUGAUUUGCACUUCCACUGUUAAGCCGCUAUUUCCAGCCCUGAAAAUUAUGCUGGGUGACAUUAGGCAGCCAGGCUCCAUAAAACAGUGUAGAGAUGGCUGUCAGAUCGGUGCAUUGGCAGGAUAAUCUGUUCUGACACCAAGGAAACCACUACACGGGUAAAACAGAGCCCUCACCCAGGCGGGACAUGUGUGAGUGUGAAAUGCCAUCACUGCCACCACAAGACACGGAUGUUUCUCAGCUCCACAUCCAGCUUUUUGCCCAAUGGAGUAAUGUCUUGUGUUUGCCACUAUCAGGAGUAUUUUCCAUGCUGCUAUGCAUUAAACUGUUAAGAAAAUAACCAAAACCUAUUAAUCACCAGCAUAUUUCUUACUACUGUACCAGCCAAGGAUUAUUUUAAUGCUUAUUUUAAUGGAUUGCUCAGCUGUGAACGAUUUUAAGGUUAAAGGUCUUGCAAGACUCCUCAUAAGCUUUCUGAAAUCUAAUCCAUCUCUAAUUUCCAUAUGUCUUGCACAGCACUGGGCUAAUGUAAUGCAUCACCACAUAAAACCUUCUCUGAUAAAAUUAUCCCGGGUAUUACAAAAAUUCAAAGCAUUGUUCUUAACGAGAUGUGCCUUUCUCAGAUGUCUUACUAGUUGAGACAUAAGCCUGGCUGUUCAAGACAUUUUUUUCUUGGCGAUAACUGGAAUAGGAACUUUAUGAUGAUUCUCCAUGUCAGCAAGUGUCACAGGCAAAAGGGGCUUUUCUAACUCCAUCUCUUAGUAGAGAACAACUCAUCCCCUACUUGUGCCCUCGGAUUGACUCUCUGGCCCCAGUUCUGGUAUUUUUCAUCCCACAAACAAAUAUGCUCCCUUUAACAGUAUGUAAAACACUGAUGGAUCUCCUCUGCUUUUUCUGCUUUGAUUUCUUUCAAAUAAUUUUGGUACCCUCUGCUACCCAUUGCACACAACCACCAUAAGCAGGGUUUCCUUUUGAUGUGCUGCAGAUGGAUUGGUGCAAAGCCACCAGAGCGCAGCAGCAGCAUCGUUUCCUUCUUGGUUUUCCAGUUAUGAUCUCCCACAGAGGAGACAGGGAAUGGUGUUAUCCCAUUAAUUCAGUGUGCUGAGAUAAGACCAGAUGCCUUGAUGUCUUUAUCCCUCAGUCAUUAACAAGUUUCCUACAAAUGGUAGGAGAAGGGCAGUUUGAGAAGCCAGACCACAACUACUACAGUAUAUCUUAUGUUCAGGGAAAGUUGAUGCUCACAUGCAGAGAAACAGGCAAAGAUGUGAUUUCCCAAGCAGAAUAGAGAAAGCUUGAAUACACGAACCUCUAGUACAUCAGUAUAAUGCAGAAUUUGCAGAAGUAUAGAAGGAGAGAUAAACUGGAAAUGAAAACUUGUUAGCACAUUGUUAGGCAAAAGCAAAUGGUAGUGGAACAAGCCUUGUGUGUGGCAAGAGAAAUUAUUAUAUCAAAUCCUGCAGGCAAAACAAGAAAGAAUAUACACUGCAUUAAGUGGCAGUGGUUCAGGCAAGUAUCCGCCAUCAUCCAAUGCAAAGUAGCAAGAAAGUUGUGUACAUUAAGCUGCCUUCAGAUGCAAAAACUGCCUGGCCCCAUGUAGGCACCCCAGGAGGCAGCACAGGAGGGGAUCUUUGAAAUUGUGGGGAUCUUUGAAACUGUGAGAUGCCAAAGUACUCAGAGGGAAGCACCUGGGCUCUCGCUCUCCCCAGCAGUGAAGGUGCUCACUCUCUGAAAACAAACCUUCCUAUGGCUUGCAGUGGGGAGAAUUCUCCCCUUGUGGUUAAUCAAUGCAGGUCCCAUGACGGUGCUUAAAAUUGCAUGCUGCCAGCCAAGUUUCAUGAGCCAAUGUGUUUUUAACAAUAAGCGUGUCUUUAAUUUACAGUUUACCAUUAAAGACAAGAUCUGCAUUGCAUUAUUGGACUAAUAUUGCUGAGAAUAAUGUGACCAGAAUAGCUAUUCAUGCCUCAAGGCCAGAAAUGAUCUAUGCCAAGCCCACCUCCAUCCCUCCUCCUGUAUUGCCUCAUCUGUGCUGACAUUUCCUUGUGAAUAUUUAAGGUAAUGUCUAUUCUCAUCUCUUGUUGAAAGUCAAACGCAUGCACACUACAGAGAACAACAGGCAGUUGCUAUUCAACACAUACAAAGUUGACGUGCUGUGCAUCGAUACAGCAAUUAUAUUUGCAAAAAUUGAAUUAUUGGCAUCUGCUUUGGGGUGUGGAUGGUAUAACUCUCACUAAUAGUCCUUUAAAACGUUGCCAGGAAAGUGAAUUCAAACAUUAGAACCUGAUUAAAGCUUUUCCUUAUUUAAGUAACAUUUGACACCUGGAGGUGUCCAAGGCCACGAAUGGGGUUCUGGGCAGCCUGACCUGUUGGGGGGCACUCAGCCCAUGGCAGGGGUUGGAGCUCAAUGAUCUCUAAGAUCCCCUGCAAUCUCAACCACUCUGUGAUUCUGUAAGUACACUCAAAAUACUCCAGGUUUAUCCACCUGAAUGUCAGCAACAGCGCAGGAAAUUGAGGGGAGCAUCACAUGGAGAAUAAUUGCAGGCUAAACGUUGUUUUCACUACAGCCAUGUUAGCAUGAUUAGAGAAGGUGGUCAUGGUGCAAGAGGAAUUUUCUGUCCUCAGUGCUCUGGUAAUGGAGAAAUUAAUCCAAAAACAAAACCACUCUUCCUCUCCUGCUUCUCAAAAUCACACAUGCAUCUCGUGUUCUCCUUACCUGAUGCAUACUGUGAGCUCUCAGCUUGCUGCCAUGCUUCAGAUGAGUUUAAAACAACAGCUGUGGAUAGGUAACAUCCAUGGAUGUAUUUUCUGUGCACGGUUUUCCCAGCACAGGGACUGCCUUCUUCACUGUGCACUGCUUAAAUACAAAAGUCUGCAUUGCUGUGCAAGGAAGAAAGGACCUGGAGCAUCACCCUACAACAGCAGCACCUUCAGCACUUAAAUCCACAGCACGUGACAUUCUUCACACUUUCUGACAAGUCGAAAAGUUUGUGACCAAGAGGGAUAAACAACAAAAAGUGUCAUGAAAGACACAUUUAGUCAUCCUCAGCCCGUAUUUAGGCACCUAUAUACAUUGCCCACUUUCCAGCUGGGACAGAGGAUUUCAGUGGCAGGGAGCUGAGCUCAGGCUUAGCAGGAUGCCCACACACUUCAGCAUCCCACACACUUAAUAUAUACAAUUGUAACAACAUGGCAACUAGUCUGUAAUUAGUACAGACAUUGCCAGAGCUGCCUUUGUAUUACAUAUGAGUCAUGCUACAAAAAUACUCUUUAUUCAUUAUCCAAGCCCUUUUCAUUUCAGUGCCAGCCAUUAUCCUGUUGCAGGGUAUGUAGGGCUCUGUCAGGCUUGUCAAAGCCAAGUGCCUUCUGAUAGCGAUCUUUGCAUUUAACCUGACAAAGAUUUACUUUACAAAAGGGUGAGAUCAAAAGGUUUCUUUCUGCACAGAAGAAGAAAGAAACACUUAAACAUGGCUCAAAGUGAGGGGUUUGCUCCUUGUUGCUUCUCCAGGCGCCCAUCUAUGGCUGGAAGAACCUCUUUCAGACUUGGCUUAAAUUGUUCUGUCAGUUAAUUAAAUAUUUGUAUCUUAAUGUCUUCCUGGUUAACUAGUGAGGAGAAAAGGCUCAUGAAACACUCAGACUGAAUAGGAAACUUUCCUUCAUCUUUAAUGUAAUAUAUGGAACAGAAGAAGGAAAAUGCAGCUGAAAUGUAUUAUGACAAGCAAAUAGAAGUAAUAUCAGAAAAUUCCUUCAGGCAGAUUUUGUUCUAGACCACUACUAUUUACUAAGAUUUUUUUUUAUUCACUGCGUUAUUAAAUCACUGGGCUGGAAAGUCCUUGGGUCAUUUCAAACCACUGUCUCAUUGAUUUCUUAUUCCUGAAGCAUCCCUAAUAUAGCACUGUCAUCGGCGCUGAUGACAGCAAUCCCCAGAUCUCCCUUGGCAGUGGACUAAUUGUCUAAGUGCUCUUGCUGUUGGAGAGGAGCACUGACAGUUUAACUCAGACCCUGUAAACAAAAAGGUAGGUUAAAAAAAGUCUGGCAUAAUCAGAAAAGUUCCCACAAAACA